ACUAUACACCACACCCAAGUGCAAGUGCCUGAUCCCGCCCGAUCUGGGAAGCUAAGCAGGGUUGUGCUUGGUCAGUACUUGGAUGGGAGACCACCUUGGAAGACCAGCGGGUUGAGUC
rnacentral:rRNA from 12 species